CAUGUAUUCCUAAAGGACAAUUAGGAUAUAUCUGUGAAAAUGCUGUAGUAGAAAAUGAAGAUUUAUGCUUAGAUACUGAAGAUAGUGUAUGUACCUUUGAAAUGCUUCCCCAUACUAAAACCCAAUCACAAGUCUAUUAUGUAGGAAAUGGAUGUGCAUGUGUUAGAAUCUUUAGUGUUAAUUUUACCAUAGAUAUUUGUCAUGAAGUAGUGAGUGGUACUAAUUUUUUGUUUUACUAAAAUAAUAGG